UCCAACUCCUCUCGAGCGUCAAUGUUGUCACUGUUCAGGUAGGCGUGAAUGUGAUCUUCUUCACCUGUUCAUGUCCUCGUCUCUCCAUCUUCUUCUCAGUUCGUCCCUCAGUUGCAUCACUUUAAUGCGGUUCCGUCAACCUCAAAUAUGUCUCAAAGAAAUCUGCUUUGAUACAUAGCCGGGCACUGGACAAGGGUUUGGUCCACUUUUUUUUUUUUUUAUAUAUAUAAAAAAAUUUUGUUAGCAUGUGAUCGUUUCAUUAGAUUGCAUUUCAUUGUGUGUUCCUGCUGCCGCCUUUCCUAUCACUCUCUCUCUCUAAUUUUCCAGUGACCAAUGGUGUGAACUUGUACUCUGCUGUGUAUCCAGGUUCUGUAUAAAUCAUGGGAUUUUGGGGGGUCUCUCUGUGAUGGUAGGCGUGUUUAGCCAAGGCAUUAAGAAGGAUAGUAAUAGUUGUCAUAUAAAUAUAGACGUAUGAGUAGAAGCUUUUGCAGAUAUGUGUUACCUUCAUAUAAAUUGCAUCCAGUUGAGGCAGUUCUUCAGGCAUGGAGGUAAAAUAUAAUUUAUCAAGCUUGUGCUGAGUAUUUUUAUGUUGUCUAUACAGAUAUUUCCCUCCUAAACAGAUAUUUUGCUGAUGGGUAGCUAAUGCUUUGACCUUUUAUGCACUUAAUUAUGUCGUUAAUGAACCUGAAUGCAUUUAGAAUCUGUUUAAUUUUCUGAUGCAAUUUAUGGGAAGUUUUUCUGGACAUCUGAAAUCAUGGGUGAGCUAACUGCAAUGGCUUGAGCUUAUGAAUUUGUCAUGUGCAGUUGACAGAUUACAUUUCUGCAAAGCUAUUGUAGUAACUUUUGCGUGUAAUAUGAGUGUUAUUUUAGCUUUUCAUCAAUGCACAAAUCAAUUGUGGGUUAAAUGUGUCAAAUGGAACUUGGAAGAUAUUUGCUAGAAAUGACACAAUACACACAUGCUGUACUUGAACAAUUUGACUUGGAAUGACAUGACAAUAUCACAGUAAAAAGAAUCAAUAGCACAAGGGAAGUACCAGUGGUGUUGCUUAACUCGACAUUUCAUUGUUCUGUUUUCUUGAAGAACUAUUUCCCCAGUCACGCUUCAAAAACAGGUGACUUCACCUGUAAAGCUGGAUGCGUAUCAAUUCCUCUCUCCUUUUUUUUCCUCUUAUACGUCAACACUACAAAUGCUCAGUUCCAGGCGCCGUGGAAUGCUGCAGUUGGAUCUGUUCUUGUGGAUCCUCGCCUGUAUGAAAUCCAUAUGGAUUGAAAGCAUCUCUGCUUGCUGCUGCCACUUCCGAUGUGCCAUAAACCUGAGACAUCAAGCCUCAUAGUUAAGCAAGGUCCCUAAAUAUUGCUUGGGCCUCGGAGAGAUUGAUCAAGCACAUUUAUCAACAGUACCAAAGAUAAAGGAGCAAUGCUGUUUAUUUCAAUCUUAAAAGUUAGUUGACCUUUGCCAUGCGAAUACAUCGGAGACUCAUUUCCAGCUGGUUCUCGAGAUCUUGUAGGUUUUUCACACUUAAACCAUAAAGCUGUUCUCCCAUCAUUUGCCUGCACCUUCAAAAUGUUAAUUCAUACAAAAAACUUUAUGACACACACACACACAGACACACAGUCAUCCUGUUUAUUUGAUUGCUGGUUUCUAUCUGCGAACAAAAGAAAUUUAAAGCUACGAAAGUAUAUUGUUUGCUGCAUUAUGGCAGUGCUUGAGUGCAUAUGGCAUGUAAAUGUAUUAAUUUCCUUCUUAUGUUCAUAUUCAUAUGAUUGGAGAGUUAGUUUUUCUA